UAUACAUGCAGUCGAGCGCAGGAAGCCGUCUGAACCCUUCGGGGGGACGACGGUGGAAUGAGCGGCGGACGGGUGAGUAACACGUAAAGAACCUGCCCAUAGGUCUGGGAUAACCACGAGAAAUCGGGGCUAAUACCGGAUGUGUCAUCGGACCGCAUGGUCCGCUGAUGAAAGGCGCUCCGGCGUCGCCCAUGGAUGGCUUUGCGGUGCAUUAGCUAGUUGGUGGGGUAACGGCCCACCAAGGCGACGAUGCAUAGCCGACCUGAGAGGGUGAUCGGCCACACUGGGACUGAGACACGGCCCAGACUCCUACGGGAGGCAGCAGUAGGGAAUCUUCCACAAUGGACGAAAGUCUGAUGGAGCAACGCCGCGUGAACGAUGAAGGCUUUCGGGUCGUAAAGUUCUGUUGUAAGGGAAGAACAAGUGCCGCAGGCAAUGGCGGCACCUUGACGGUACCUUGCGAGAAAGCCACGGCUAACUACGUGCCAGC
rnacentral:rRNA from 1 species